rnacentral:rRNA from 1 species
AUGCCGCGUGCAGGAUGACGGCCCUAUGGGUUGUAAACUGCUUUUAUACGGGAAGAAAUGCGCCCACGUGUGGGCGUCUGACGGUACCGUAAGAAUAAGGACCGGCUAACUCCGUGCCAGCAGCCGCGGUAAUACGGAGGGUCCGAGCGUUAUCCGGAAUCAUUGGGUUUAAAGGGUCCGUAGGCGGGCCUGUAAGUCAGGGGUGAAAGUUUGUGGCUCAACCAUAAAAUUGCCUUUGAUACUGCAGGUCUUGAGUCAUGGUGGGGUCGCCGGAACAUGUGGUGUAGCGGUGAAAUGCAUAGAUAUCACAUAGAACACCGAUCGCGAAGGCAGGUGGCCAACCAUGUACUGACGCUGAUGGACGAAAGCGUGGGUAGCGAACGGGAUUAGAUACCCCGGUAGUCCACGCCGUAAACGAUGGAUACUAGCUGUGGGGACUUCGGUCUCCGUGGCCAAGCGAAAGUGAUAAGUAUCCCACCUGGGGAGUACGUUCGCAAGAAUGAAACUCAAAGGAAUUGACGGGGGCCCGCACAAGCGGUGGAGCAUGUGGUUUAAUUCGAUGAUACGCGAGGAACCUUACCAGGGCUUAAAUGCAGGCUGCAUGGGGUAGAGAUACCCCUUUCUUCGGACCGCCUGCAAGGUGCUGCAUGGUUGUCGUCAGCUCGUGCCGUGAGGUGUCAGGUUAAGUCCUAUAACGAGCGCAACCCCUACCGUUAGUUGCCAGCAUGUCAAGAUGGGGA